rnacentral:rRNA from 1 species
AUUAGAUACCCGGGUAGUCCAGGGUGUAAACGCUGCAGACUUGGUGUUGGGGGCCCUUCGGGGGCGUCCAGUGCCGGAGAGAAGUUGUUAAGUCUGCUACUUGGGGAGUACGUCCGCAAGGAUGAAACUUAAAGGAAUUGGCGGGGGAGCACCGCAACGGGAGGAGCGUGCGGUUUAAUUGGAUUCAACACCGGAAAACUCACCAAGGGCGACUGUUACAUGAAGGCCAGGCCGACGACCUUGCCGGAUUUUCAGAGAGGUGGUGCAUGGC